GCCCUCGUAGCUUAGCAGGUAGAGCGUAUGGCUGUUAACCAUAAAUUUAAGAAUUUAUUUUCUUGAUUUGGUAAAGGUCACCAGUUCGAGUCUGGUCGAGGGCG
rnacentral:tRNA from 1 species